CCGCGCGCGCCAGGCCCUGUCCCUGCGCGUCCUCGCGCCCAUCACGUGAUCCGCUCUGGUGCACGCCCGGCUUUUCCACAGCUGGUUCCCUGGCACCUGGCACCCGCAGGCUCAGUCUGAUACAGUCAACGCCAGGGCUCCCCAGGGCCGUCUUAAAAAGGUCUACACUCCGGACCUUUUUGCUGAAUGCAGAACAGCCAGUAAGGCCACCCGGUGACCUUACCGCAGCCACCCAGCAAGUGUGUGCUGCUGGAUCUGGGACCAGGACUCUGUGGCCUGGCAGAACCGCUGCAGCCGGAGGAGUGGCCUGGGGCUAGAGAUGGAAUCUUACGGGAAUCCUCACCAGCCCUCUAGAGUUUGGCCUCCCUGACCGGCAUCAGCCAGAACAUAACGUGAUCUCCUUUGUAUUUCACAGUAGCCGUGGGAGAUGGCUUCCUUACAGAUGAGGUCUGCCUCUCACGUGUGAGGAAACUGAAGCCUGAGCGGGAUCUGAUGACUUGGGGUUACUUAGACAAUUGAGGGCUGGGGAGCGCCGGGGUCCAGACUCCCAGACAGAGGCUUUUGGGAGUGGCCUAGGGACCUGGUCUCUGCCAGCAAAUGUGCGGUGCCCUUAGGGCAGGGGAAAGAUAACCCCAGCCUGUGGUUACACGGACCGAAAGAGAAAGAAUCAUAGAUUGUUAAAACUGAAGAAAGGGCCCUCAGAGACCAUCCAGUCCAGCCCCUUCACUUCACAGUGAAGAUGUGAACUGGAAGCUUCAGAAAAGCACAUUUGCUAGGCUUCAAUAGGCCUAACUCACAUAGCGGGUGAGCUUUGUGUUAAGAAGGAAUCUUACAGUAACAAGAGGUCAAAGACCCAGCUCAAAUGGACUUAAACAGGAAAGGAAAUUUAUUGGCUUCCUUACAGAAGAGCUUAGAGGUAGAUGUUAAAACACAGUUAAGCCCAGGGACUCAAAACUUGUCAGGACUGCAGCCCCACCUUUGAGCUGUGCUUUCUUCUGAGUUGGUUUCAUUCUCGGGUGGUUUCUCUCAUGGUGGCAAGAUCACUGCCACAUUUGCUUGUUUUCUAGCAACACCGGAAGGGAAAAAAAGCUCAUCUCUGCCUGUCUGUAUCUCUCUCUCUCUCCUUGUAACUAAAACCCCAGAGGUGACUCCCAUUGAUUAUUGGUUCUGUUUGGAGCCUGUACAAAUCCCCCAACCCAUCAGUAUGGAAUUGGGGGCUUAGUUAUCUCUACUUGCAUGGCAUGAAUGGGGCUGGGCGAGGACGGCUUUCCCAGUGAAAAUUGGGGUGCUUUCCUCAGAAAGUGUUGAGCAGACAAAAAAGCAGUGCCCAUUUCAGUUUCUGUUUCAAAAUUCUAAAUUCCUCCCUUUAAUUACCAAGUGAAGUCCAAAUUCCUUUACCAACAUCCAAGACCCACCUACUCUGAUCCAAAUCUAUCUUUUCAGGCUCAUUUUCUAAAUGAGCCUUUUGCUCUAGCCACACUGAGUUUCUCCAAAGCUCGCAUACCAUACACCUUCCUGCUGCUGCACCUUUGCUUAUACUGUUUCCGUUCUUCGGGAUGCCCCUUAUGGGGGAUGGGUUUUUCAAUGAAAGGAAUCCUUUCCAUAUCCAGGAUUAGCUCAGAUACCACACCUUCAUGAGGUCUUUCUGGUCUCCUUCAGCUGCAUGUGUUAUAUCUGUAUUUCUUAUGUCUUGGAGCAAAUGUCAAAUUUGUAUUUGUAUUAUAUUUACUUAUUUACUCAUCUAGCCUUUCCUACUAGCUCGUGAAAUUUCUUGAAGGCCAUAAUGCUGGUAUCCUUAUUUUUAAAUCCUCUUCAGUAUCAGGCAGUGCUUUGCACUCAAUAAAUAUUUGUUGAGUGAGGGAAUUGAAUAUUUAUGGCAUGGUCUGCACAGCCUUCGUAAGUGGGGAUCUGCUUUCCUGGAUGAGCUCAGUGUUGAGUGUUCCUGUUAAAAUGCAGCAUCAAAAUAGAAUGCCAUUUUAAAAAAAACCCUUUAUUUAUUUAUUUUUAGAGAAGGGGAAGGGAGAGAGAAA